CCAAUAGUAGCCUGGAGCUUCGCAGGCCUUUGUUUUCCGAGCAAAACAGUUGGCGUUGGCCACAAGGAGGUGGUGCACCCACCCAAACCAGACUUCUUACCUGUUAUUAGUGUUUCAACCAACGACUUGCACAAUGAAUCAUUCAAAAGGAACACACAGAGGUGAUUGGAUAACAGAAUAAUUGCCUUAACAGGGAUGAUCUGAUCAGCAAUCAACAACACUAACGGAAUGAAUGGAAAAAGGGAUUUCCCCUUAUCGGAUAUCACAAAUGGAUUGCGAUGUGCUCCCUCCCAGAAGUUAAAAGUUCUGCCUGCUCCUCAAAUAACAAUGCGAAAUCUUACAAAUGUCCCAGAGAAGCCCCACGGAUUCACGAUGCGAGCCACAAACAUACACGGACACACACACGCACUAUCUCUCUAUACCAACAAACAAACGUACACCAACACUAAAGCAUUUAUAAUUAUUUUGAUAUCGGCUGGCUAUCGUAAAAUAAGCCAAAGAUCGUACAUUGGCCUUUAGGCAGAACAACAACAGCACGCGGGAAGAGCGGAGAGAGAGGGAGAGCGGGAGGGAACCGUUGGAAUAACCUUGAGAAGUGACUCACUUCACGGUUUGGUGUGCAAUCAAAAUGCAAACCAGAACAGAAAAGCAAAGGGUGACGUGAAGUGAAAGAGGAGAAUAAGUAACUAAGCUAAAACAGAAAAUGCGAAGUAUGUAAAGUAGAGGAAGAAGGGAAACAAGUCACGGCAUGAAUGGUGACCAAGCGCGUGGGAGAGAGAUGGCGAUGGAGACAGAGAACACUGAUAACGGUUGAUUGAAAGUACACACAAAACACUUCGCGCCAUUUAAAUAGCACAUCUCACUCUCAGGUUAAAUUCUGACAUCACUAAUGGCCGUAUUCCCCUACACUACAUAAAUACGCCAAACUAUUAUUUCAAAGCA